rnacentral:rRNA from 1 species
AAUGAACGCUGGCGGCAGGCCUAAAACAUGCAAGUCGAACGCCCUAGCAAUAGGGAGUGGCGCACGGGUGAGUAACAUGUGGGAAUAUGCCUUUUGGUACGGAACAACGUUUGGAAACGAACGCUAAUACCGUAUGGUCCCUCCGGGGUAAAGAUUUAUCGCCAAAAGAUUAGCCCGCACUAGAUUAGCUAGUUGGUAAGGUAAUGGCUUACCAAGGCGACGAUCUAUAGCUGUUCUGAGAGGAAGAUCAGCCACACUGGGACUGAGACACGGCCCAGACUCCUACGGGAGGCAGCAGUUAGGAAUAUUGGACAAUGGGCGCAAGCCUGAUCCAGCCAUGCCGCGUGAGUGAUGAAGGCCUUCGGGUUGUAAAGCUCUUUAGCCGACGAAUAUAAUGACUGUAGUGGAAGAAUAAGCCCCGGCUAACUUCGUGCCAGCCGCCGCAGUAAUAC